UGCCUCUCGAUUUUACAAUGAGAGGUUCAUCCUGCCCAAUGACUCUUAGUUCAAUGGCCGCGGUACCCUGACCGUGCAAAGGUAGCAUAAUCACUUGCCCCUUAAUUAGGGGCUGGCAUGAAAGGACACACGAAAGCUUCCCUGUCUCAUAGUAACAAAUAAAAAUUAAUCUUUAAGUGAAAAAGCUUAAAUAUCAUUGCAGGACAAGAAGACCCCGUUGAGCUUCAUUCUCAAUAGACAAAAUAAAAUAUACUUUAUAACCUAAACCUAAAAAAGAAUUUAGUUGGGGUGACUAAGGAACAUCAAAAACUUCCUUUUACUUUAUAGGAAAAUUUUCCAAAAUAAUUGACCCAUAUAUUAUGAUCAAAAAAAUAAGCUACCACAGGGAUAACAGGCUAAUCUUUCUUAAGAGCCCAAAUUGUCAGAAAGGAUUGGCACCUCGAUGUUGGCUUAGGGGCCCCUAAUGGCGCAGAAGCCAUAAAAGGUAGGUUUGUUCAACCUUUAAAACCCUACA
rnacentral:rRNA from 1 species